UAUAUUACAUACUUUCUGAAUAGUGUAACAAUUAACGUAGCACUCAUCAAAUCUUAAACACAAGCGUAUCUGAAGGAAAAAGUAUUUACUAAGAAAAACCAGAAAAACUGAGUAACUAUGUCAAGCAGCACAAACCAUUUUAAGAGAGCAGCACUGAACUUACAAAACUGGAGUGGGAAGAAGAAGAAAACCAGCUUCUGAUUGCAAAAGUGGAUACAAGAGUUUACUAAGUAAACUACAAAGGUAAAACUCUCCACAGGGCUACUAUGAAAUAAGGAGAAUGACAGAAUGGCCCCUGUCAAGGCUUCCAUCCUGGAACUUGCCACUGUGAAUCAGGACUUUCAAACAACAGAAGAUGAAUGAAAUAAUGCAGCACUCCCAUGCGCAGCAUGAUGGAAGUUCUGAUCUCCACUAUUAACAGGAGGCACAAGGUGAGGGAGCACAGGCAGGAAGCCUCCUGCAGUCUUUGCAGAAGAGAAGUUUGAAUGAGAGCAGGCACUGACGAAAUCUGGAGGAGCAAACGCUGUUGUAUCGCUAGUAGAAAUCUUGCCCUGAUUUCUUCUUCGAAUGCCUAUUGAAUUGCCAACAUUCAUCUGCAUCUCUUUUGAUGCAGAAGAUUUUUGAAAGGAAAAAUAUUGCUUGCAAAUGUUGGAAACUGCUUUAUGUCAUUAGUAAUGAGGAAACACAAACUCAUGAGCACUGGUAAUCUUGGAAGUUUUAUGUUGUUGGUUACUCUAAGAGCAAGGAACAGAUGACCUCCUUCUUAAACUUAUAACUAUAGCAAUAAAUUCAAUUGUUCCAGGCAGACCCAAUGGGGAAACUUCAACAGAACCAGCUACUGAAAAUAUGCUAAUUGUGUUCUCACGUAGAAGGAAACUAAUCAAUGAAUAGGGAGAUCAGGUAGAGCAGAGUAAAAACUGUCACAGUAAGUGCUCAGCAAGGGCUAAUAGCAGGAAUAGACAAUUGCAAAUUGUUCAGAAGCUUUAUUGCAGGUCAGGACAUCCAACGUAAGUGUCAUGAACUGACAAUUUAGGAGGUCAUAAGCCCUCUUCUCCACCUUGAUUUUUAUACAGAGAUUCCUGGUGCUAAACCUUUUUUCUGGGAAGAGGAGUGAGGAAUGUGGUUGCCCUUCAGAAGGUGCUGAAACAAUUUGCACCAGUAGCUGCUAUAGGCUUCUGAUCGCUGCACAUAGUGAACCAGCUGAUUAUGUAAAUUAAAACAAACAAACAAACAAAAACAAAACAAAACAAAAAUAAUAAUAAAAACAAAACAAACAAAAAAUAAACAAACAAACAAAACAAAACCCAACAACAACAAAAACAACCACCAUCCUGGAAGAACUUAAUCUUAAUUUGAAAAGUUUUAUCCUGUCAUCAUUAGCAUCCACUAACUGUCGGCAGCGAGGACCCCAAUGAGCUCUGCCAUCUUCUCCCUGCUCUGCAGAGUCUGGCUGCCAGUGCCCCUGACCAGCCCCGAUGGUGCUGGAUCGGCUGCUGGGAAAGAGCCACAUGAGGAUGAGAGCUGGGAUGUGGCUGUCUCUGGUCACUGCCACUGUCCCUGUCCUGCUUACCUGGUGUGGGUGCUGCAGGGCUGUGCCCUUGUGGGUGGCAGCACGGCCCCACCAGUCCCCAAGAGCAGCCCGCUGCCAUGGCUGCUUGGCAUGGGAUGUGGGUCUGUGGGCACGGCGUGCCACCGAGGAGGUGGCCACUGAGUCUUUUCAUUGAAAAUUUCCAAUGUCUUCACACAGGUCUGGGUCUGAAGGAGCUGCACGUGGCUGCAGCCCCACUUGGGUCAGUGGAGCAAAACUAAUCUAAGCCAGAUGGGAUGCUGAUCUAUCUGCCAAUUAAAAAAUACUCAGGCCACCAUCAGGCAUUCAAUUCCAACGCAUGCUGUGGUUUUAUGACUCCUCCAGACUAGCCUGGCAUCCUUCCAUGUUAGCUUAUAAUGAAAGUAAAUUAGAUGUCCACUUUUUCUUCAGUAGCUCUUAACAUAUUGAGCAUUUAAUACUCCAGUAUAAUGAUUUACAAGGAACUGUUCGGUUUUGUACAUGAACGACCAGUAGCAAAUCCAGUUUUCUGGGACAGUUAGAGUGGAAAAUAUUUUAAAGCAGUAUCUUGUUAAUAGUUUAUCCUGCAUUUGUUUUUGAGCAGUUUUAGGGCAUCUAUUCUAUUGCUGGUUUGCUGAAAAAGACAGUUUCUCAGUCCUGUCUUCCUUGCAGAAGCCAACAACCAUUUCAUACAGCUGUUUACUACAUGUCAGAUGGUCUGUUAAAUAUCAUUUCCAUCAUCCUCCUUUUCAUUUCAAGGGAAGCUGUUUUGCAAUUAUUUCAGUUCCUCCUUCUGAUUUUUAAAAUACUUUUGCACAGGCAGUCCUCUUUUAUUUUGAGCUUCCAUGUUGCUAGACAUGCACACAGAUUACACCACCAGAAUGACUAGCCUUGGUUUUUAGCUGCUGUGUUUGAAGUACUUUAGAGACCUGAUAUUCAGAGUCAUUCAUUUUGUUUCAAAACUAAAGCACCCAAAAAUCACAAUACACAUUUGAAAAUGUUAACCUACAACUUUGGGUUACAUUAUUAAGUAAUUAAUAUUAAAAUUGCCACUGGAGUUGCCCAUAUUUGCAUUUCUACACAGUUAUGACAUGAUUCAUUUUUACCACUUCAAGGUGUGCAGUGUGUUUUCUUCUCCAGAGACUGUUAUUUAGUUAGUAUGCAGAGAUCUGGCAACCUCAGGGCGUCAUCAUAACAGGCUCAGAUAAGGACAAAAACAAAAAUACAGAUGAUGCACUGUUAACUCUUCUGUUAAUUUGAUGCUAAAUGUCUAUUACAACAGCUUUGAUUAUGCUCAAAUAUUUUCUUUGUUAAAACCUUUAAAAUCUGGAUGGCAACACUUCCUCUUUCUGGUCACGUUAUUCACAUUUACCAACAGUGGGUUGCAGCAUCCUUCUCCAUCUGAGAACACUAGCAUGCACAAAACUUCAUUAUACAGACAAUUGCAGUAUAUGAAGAAAUCAUCUAAGUUUUUUAUGUAUCUAUAGCUAUUAUUAGCUUCAUAAUCUUCUCAAUUAUCCAUUUUAAAAACGUCUGCUUCUGGGUGAUUGGGUCAUUUCUGCUCCAUGAGGUACCAAACAAACAAGCUUAUACUGAUUUUAAGCACACAAGAAUCAACACUGAAACAGAAGGGGUGGUAUAUAUGUUUCACACAAAGCAUAUUCAUAAGCACUUUGCUUGAAUAGGAUGCAGAUGCUCGUCUUCUGGCAGAAUGAACUCCAUGAUCACAAAAGGGAUUUUUGUCUCUGUUGUUUAUUAUCUAAAGGUUUCCAAGGUGAGGUUUCAUGUUUGUUUUCAUAGAGUUCAGCUUUAAGUGGACAUCGAUACAAACUGACCUGUGGAUAAACUCGGGGUAUUGUCUUAAGGGUAGGAGCGUUAUUAAACUGCAUCUAGGUCUGGUGCUGUCUUUCACCAACAGAUGUACAGAAAUAAAUCCAUCUUCUCCCACUUCCACAUGAGGCAAUGGCUUCUGGUCAGUGUAACAUCCAGUAAUUAGGCUGCUUUUGAGCCAAUAGUCUACGUUUAUAGAUCAGUAGGUUGGAUUUCCCUUAGCUAGACAAGAUUUUUUAUUAUUUAUAUAUGCCUCUUGGAGCUUUUGCAUGUAAUUAUCUGGAUAUUUGUCCCUCAUGUCCAAGCUCAGAGUGGAAUGCAAACCAGACCAAGAACACAAGUAGAAACUAAACAUUUGUGCAAGAAAAUACCAUGUUACCCAAAGGCUUCAACAAAAAGCAGAAAUCUCACACAUCGCAACUACAGAUGUCUUUACUCAAGAAUGGGAGCAGAGAAGAAAUAUUUACUAAACAGCAAAAGCUUCUAUUACAAUUUUGGAAGAAAAACUUAGUCAUGUGCUUUCCUCUUUCCAGUCAGCAUGACAGUACCUCUCUAUACAAUUUUUGAGGUUGCAGAGGGCUUGCUUAUUCUGUAUGUUUUACUGCAUUCACAUCAUCCGCAGUGUUCUGCUGUUAAUGCAGCAGCAACCAAUGGAAAUUUUCACAGACCAUUUGAUUUUACAUUCCAGCCCCCUCUUAUGUGUGGACUUGGAGUGCGGUCUGAAGACUUGGCACUAGACUAAUGUUUAUAUUACUGCAUAUGCCUACGUGGUGUUGCCAGUCCCUCCAAAUUUCAAAGGUUUUGUGUCUGGCACAGAAGAAUCUCAUGAUUUUAAACCAGAAUUUGCCUUUUUGACCCUUCUGCUAGGCUUUGCCUGGCAGCAGCAUUGGCUUCAACUUGUAGAGGUCAAGCGCUUAACAAACUCUGUUUUUUCACAGUAAGCAGUGGAAGAGGUUUAAUUAAACAAUACUUUAUUGUAGAGGAGGGAAAAGAAAAAAAAAAGAGGAAGCAAAUGAUUUAUCAAAAGAGCUGAAGAGAAAUGCUUUCUCCAUAGUCACUGAAUGAUAAUGUGAGUCACUUCCGAGGGAAGGGCUGUGAGGGUGUGAACAACAGCUUCCUCACAGUUCAUUCUCCUCUUUAUUUCUCAAACCCAGGUGUACCUUCACUUAUUGAAGCUACUGGUUAACCAGUCCCAGCGCUGUUUUGCUUAUGCUCUAAUGAACACGUGUUUAAGGAAUACAAGGAAUUGGAUUAAAUGUUUUUUUAUCCAUAGAAGAAGCGUAAGUUAUUUAUUCCAAUUGGUGACCCCGACGUGAUAGCCUUGGAUGGUUUUGUGCUAUCCCAGGCUCAAGGGGGGCGCCCCACUUUAAUAGUGGCCCUUGGACUUGGGUAUGCAGAAAGCUACCAACGCUAUAUAAAAUUAAAGCAUAAGCAAAAGAAUUGAGCUCCCUGAGGAUUACUGCAGUACACCCGUAAUUCAACGUGCACGAAGACCCCAGCAGGAACAGCGGACUAAACAGCUGUUCGGACUGCAGAGAAAGGAUGGACACACGCAUCUCGAGUUAAAGGACCCCUGAUGGAAGAAAGAACCUGGAAAGUAACUCAAGGACCGGGGGAGUUGAAAUUGAAAUUAACACAGGAUCGGUGAUGUAACUACUACCAGGAUUGUUAAUAUGAAUGUCCAGUAUAAAGGAAAAUAAGAAUGGUUUAAUAAUUAAGCAUGUUGAACUAAGUCAUAUGUGUAAUUCCAUUAUUUGUAUUUGGUGUUUAGGUCGUAAUGGACUGUGAUAUAAGCAUAUCCACAAAGGGAACUUGCUAACAGGAUUGGGAAUUCUAGCGGCCACUGGAGGAAUAUUUAAAAAAAAAAAAAAAAAAAAAAAAAAGUGAAGAAUGAUGGGAGGUACUUACUAAAGGGGUGGAUGGUAACUUAGAGAGUCCACCAGUGAUAGGAAGAAUAGAGGCCCAUGUUGUCCUGUUGCUCCUGGGGAGUGAAGGCCGAGAGUUUGGAAUACGAUAAAAAGUCACCACCUAACGGCAAAAACAGGAAAGGCGGGGACACUACCCUUGCUGCCGAGAAGAUGACGAACUCGGCUGCCAGCUGCAACCUGGUAGGCCAGAGAGGCAGAGGGUGUAGAAACCUGGACCUGAUCCUCUUGCUAGGAGUGGUGACUUAUUGUUCCCAACUUAGCCUGGCCAAUCCCUGUACCAAAUGCUAUGAGCGCGUGAGAAUAGGACGACUGACACAAUAUGUUCUCAGUUAUCACACUCAUGUUAAUUCUGGGUGUUAUGACAGAACAAAAUUGGAAAAAUGUGAAAUCCAAGGGCAGAAGUUAUGGGUAGCAACUAACCUAGGGAAAGGUGGACUCGGUGUAGGCUUUGUCUCCUGCCCUAGAGGAGAACAAAAUAUCUGUUUUACACAAGCUGGUAUGUGGGGCUAUUCAGAUGGAGGGGGAGUACAAGAUCAGUAUAAGGAGGAGUUAGUUAAGAAUGCCACUCAGGAACUGAAAAGGAGGCAAGAGAAACAGAAAUUGGUACCGAAAAAUAGUGAUUGGUAUGAAGAAAUAAGGAAAAAAGAUAAGGGAUUACAAUUACCAACAGUGGGGGAAAAACCUGUUUAUAGAUCUUAUGGAAAAGAUAGCCCGGGAGUUAAAUGUCACAUCAUGCUGGAUAUGUGGGGGGUCUCAAAUGGCAGAACAGUGGCCUUGGAGAGGAGAGAGUGUAAGCCCAGAAGGAUUACUGGUAUGGAACAGAACUCAUGUAACUCGGGAAAAAAGACCAGAAGGAUGGGUAUUAAGUCACUUAAUAAUAGGGCAGAUAUGCAUAUCAAGGGAUGAUGGUAAACUGGAUUUUACUGAAUAUGUUGGGCAAACCCCUUGUAAGUUAGUGUUACAAGUAAAUUCAUCAAAAACCUCUAUUCCUCCCACUUGGUGGCCAGGUCCACCUAAUGGAUAUUGGUCUCGAAAUUGUAGCCUGGGAAAUGAAACGAUAUGCUGGAAGAAUCGAAGCAAAGCAAAUCCUUUUGAGGAAAUUGGGGAUUUAAGGAGAUAUUGGCAGAAUCCUGGCUCUACCGAUGUAAACGAACCAUGGAAAGCUCCCGAUGGAUUAUUUUGGAUAUGUGGGAAUAGAGCUUAUAAUGAAUUAAUGCCCAAAUGGAGAGGGUCUUGUACAAUAGGGAUAAUUCAACCAGCAUUUUUCCUUUUACCAAAGGAAAAAGGGAGUCAUCUGGGGAAACCUCUGUACGAAACUUUAAACAGAGAGAAGAGGGGUUUAAUAAAUGUCCCCAUAGGAGGAACACAAACUUGGAAAGAUGAUGAAUGGCCUGCGAAGAGGAUAAUUGAAUACUAUGAUCCAGCCACCUGGGCCCAAGAUGGAAGCUGGGGAUACCGUACCCCAAUAUAUAUGCUAAACCGAAUUAUCCGGUUGCAAGCAGUGGUUGAAAUAAUAAGCAACCGGACAGCUGAGGCACUGAAUCUUAUAGCAAGACAAUUGUCUCAGACCAGGGCUGCAGUGUACCAAAAUCGGGUAGCCUUAGAUUAUCUUUUAGCUGAAGAAGGGGGCGUCUGUGGGAAAUGGAAUACUUCUGAGUGUUGUUUGGAAAUAGAUGAUAAUGGAGAAGCUAUAAUGAAAAUAGCAGAGGAGAUAAAACGGGUGGCACAUGUACCAGUACAGAAAUGGAAUUCUAUACUUACUAGCCAUUGGUGGGAUGACUUAUUUGGGGGAGCCUGGUGGAAGAAAAUAGGGUUCAUGAUAGUAUGUGCAUUUCUUGGUUUACUGUUUGUACCAUGUAUGAUCCCGUGCUUUAUUCGGUUAAUACAUUCAGUAGUCCAAGGCAUGCAAAUCUCAGCCAUGCCUAUAGAUCCUGAAAUGGCAACAAAAGGAACAGGGUAUAAAUUGAUGAUUUUAAAAGAUAACACUAAACUGGACCUAGCCGCCGCUAGGCAAGUACUAGCUAACUUUGAGGCCAAAGCACGAAUCAAUAGGAUAAAAAGAAAACGGGGGAGUUGUGAAAAAUGCAGUUGUGAUUCGUGCUAAGAUGUUUAAUGUUUACAGAUAUAACCAAAUGAGGCACGGGCUCUGAACUUGGAAAAAGGUGGUUAAGUUCUAUGUAAAAAGUUAUGAAACUUGCUUAUGAAGUUAUAUUGAUAGAAGGAACUAACAUUUUAAGGGUUAACUAAACUUAUAAGGGGUGCCUACUAACAAGCUAACACUUUAAGGCUUAGUCACACAAUAAAUGCUUAGUUUAGAGCUUUAUGUUAAGAAGAACAGAACCCCAUCGAAUGCCAAGAUAAGAAGUUUUACUGCACCUAGCUGUAAACUUGAGGGACAAGAUAACGAAGAUUUACAGCAAAAGGGGGCGCCAGUCUGGUUUCAUUCAACUUGGCAGCUUGGGUCCCAGUCAAUUCAACAUAAUGAGCCAAAGGUAAAAAGUUCACUGUGAUGAAGCUGAAGGAGCCUUCAUCCAAAGACCCCCAAAGACCCCUCCUCAAAUUCACCAAGUGGCACUGCGCAGGCGCAACAGGGGAGGGUCUAUGGAAAUGGUUAUCUGAGACUCAUUUUAAUCAGAAGCGGGGAAAGGUUAUGAAUAUGUAUAGGCGUUCCUGGGGUCAUUAUGAAUAUGUAACACUUUACUGUAUUUAAGCACACUUUUUAUUGUUUAAAGGUGUGCGUGUUGGGCGGAGUGAAUCCCCCGCGCACCCAGCGCUGUUUUGCUUAUGCUCUAAUGAACACGUGUUUAAGGAAUACAAGGAAUUGGAUUAAAUGGUUUUUUAUCCAUAGAAUAAGCGUAAGUUAUUUAUUCCACUUUCCAUGGCCUUACCUGCUGGUGGCAAAGCCCAUGGGCCUCCUGAGAGCAUCCCACUGCCCCAGCUGUCCCAUCCAGUUGUGACCCUGAGGUGGGAAUGUAAGAAACACAUGAAGAAGAGGGGAUGUGACAUGGACUGUCAUCCACAGUGACACUCAGGAGCUUUGUAUAAACCAGCUGGACCAGGGCCACGUACAGAGAAGUCCAUAUAAACCUGGACAGGAGAGGGAGUUUCCGUAGGUCUAUUGCCUCCCAUAUUACAGAAACAAGACAAAAAUAGCCUCAACUUUUUUCCCUUUUGCAUUUUCUAAAUUUCCUCCCAUGCCCACUUCCCUUUCUCGAAAUCCACAUAUAUAUGUUAUCAGAAACACAAGGAAACUGAUUUUGUUUAGUAGGCAGUUUAUUUCAAAACAGAAGAUGGGCCACAAAGUAAGAUGUAAGAAACAUUUAGUAGUUCAUAUGUGUUGGCAUCCAGUGAGGCAAUUUCAGCUGUCAUAAACAAAUAAGCGAUUAGAAAAGCAGUUAAUUCAAAACAGCAAUAUGCUGACAGAGCUUUGCAGGCAUAAAAGAAGUCUUGUAAGCACCUCCAUAGCUGCUUAGUCAGGGUUCCUGCUUUUAGAUUACGCUUUCACAGUGCACAAGCAAACCACCCGAGAGGCAAGGUUUUGCUAUACACGUGCAGCUUCUAGAGUCCUGGGAAGUCAUUCUCAUUUGUGAGUGGGCAAAGGUAAAAAGAGGAACAAGGAGCUCAGGGCACUGAGCAGGGUUUUACAAGGUCAGCCUUUCUCCCCUAAUGCCAGCAAGUGCAGCCGCAGCUGCUCACACCACCUUGGACCUCCCUGAGAAUUCUGGUGAGGUCCAGGCUGGCUUCCUCAUGGGCAAAGUCCACAGGAGGCACAAGGUGAGGGAGCACAGGCAGGAAGCCUCCUGCAGUCUUUGCAGAAGAGAAGUUUGAAUGAGAGCAGGCACUGACGAAAUCUGGAGGAGCAAACGCUGUUGUAUCGCUAGUAGAAAUCUUGCCCUGAUUUCUUCUUCGAAUGCCUAUUGAAUUGCCAACAUUCAUCUGCAUCUCUUUUGAUGCAGAAGAUUUUUGAAAGGAAAAAUAUUGCUUGCAAAUGUUGGAAACUGCUUUAUGUCAUUAGUAAUGAGGAAACACAAACUCAUGAGCACUGGUAAUCUUGGAAGUUUUAUGUUGUUGGUUACUCUAAGAGCAAGGAACAGAUGACCUCCUUCUUAAACUUAUAACUAUAGCAAUAAAUUCAAUUGUUCCAGGCAGACCCAAUGGGGAAACUUCAACAGAACCAGCUACUGAAAAUAUGCUAAUUGUGUUCUCACGUAGAAGGAAACUAAUCAAUGAAUAGGGAGAUCAGGUAGAGCAGAGUAAAAACUGUCACAGUAAGUGCUCAGCAAGGGCUAAUAGCAGGAAUAGACAAUUGCAAAUUGUUCAGAAGCUUUAUUGCAGGUCAGGACAUCCAACGUAAGUGUCAUGAACUGACAAUUUAGGAGGUCAUAAGCCCUCUUCUCCACCUUGAUUUUUAUACAGAGAUUCCUGGUGCUAAACCUUUUUUCUGGGAAGAGGAGUGAGGAAUGUGGUUGCCCUUCAGAAGGUGCUGAAACAAUUUGCACCAGUAGCUGCUAUAGGCUUCUGAUCGCUGCACAUAGUGAACCAGCUGAUUAUGUAAAUUAAAACAAACAAACAAACAAAAACAAAACAAAACAAAAAUAAUAAUAAAAACAAAACAAACAAAAAAUAAACAAACAAACAAAACAAAACCCAACAACAACAAAAACAACCACCAUCCUGGAAGAACUUAAUCUUAAUUUGAAAAGUUUUAUCCUGUCAUCAUUAGCAUCCACUAACUGUCGGCAGCGAGGACCCCAAUGAGCUCUGCCAUCUUCUCCCUGCAUGCACCCAGAGGAAAGGGCUCCUGUGAAGGUUUACAAAGAGCCUUUCAAAGCCAUGAGCUGCAAACCUUCCCCCGUGUCCCCCUUGGCUUCCCCGCUAAAAUAGGUGGGGCACAUCCCCAGCCCAAGGGAAAACUUUGAGGCUGCAACCUUGUUGCCUGCAACUGGUUGAGUUCAGACGGCCAAGGGUUGACUGAGAGGAUUUUUCAUUUUAUUCAGCACAUGAUCUGAAGGAAGGUCUUUGCUGAGUUGUCUGGAACUAUCUCAAGCAGAGAAAAAGGUUCGAGAAAGCCCAAGAGAUCUGAGCUGAAAACUCUGACUGAACAAGAAUAGCAUUAAGGUACAGACAGGCACUAAGGCGUGUUAAGAAAUACUGCUUGUAACUGGUGGGACUCAUCUGAAGAGUGGGAUCCUCUCACCCUGGGCACUCACUGAGAUGCCUGCACAGACACUGCAGAGCCUGGACUGAAGAAAUAACAUAGAUGGGUCUUUUCAGCAGGAGUUGGUGUCAUUUUGGAUCACAUGGUCUCACUAAGGGGAAAUAAUAAGUUUGAGAGACCUCUUCAGAAGACAUGCUCAAAUACAUUUAUUUUGUAAGUGCUUGACUUCUGCAGGUCUCUACCUGAAGUCAUGGGCAGCCGAUCUGACUGUCUGAGAUCUGUUCUCGGACUCUCCAGGGUGCCUGAGGGUGCUGCUUUGGGAGGGCCAUGGGGAUUCGGAUGUGUCAGGACCAGUGGUGUGACCUUCCUUCACCCAUACCCUCUGUGAGCCAGGAGAGCAAAUAGUCAGCAACUAAGGACUUUGGGCUUAUGUGAGGAACACAGCACGUGCCCCGGUCCUCCACACUGGCACUUUUUAACUUUCUGUCCCCUGCUAGCUAGAGUUGGGCUGUGGGAAGCAUGCUGCAGGGCUGGGGGGGAUACCCCAGCCACCCCAAGGACCCCACAGCCCCACUGAGCAUUGGCCAUCUUCAUGGUAGGUCCCAGAAGUAGUGUAGACAGAACAAGGGUGCUCUUGUGCCAAAAGCAGGUAUAACCCCUUAAAGCCUCCCCAGCAUCCCUCUCCACCUGCUUUUUAUGAAGCACAACAUGAAAUCUUCUCAAUGUCAUUCCACUCACCGAAUAUAAAAAUGAAUAUUUCUGCUGACAGUCAAUAGAUUUAGAUUUCUCCUUUCAGUGGUGGCUGUGGUUUUUUGUUUUGUUUUUGUUGUUUUGAUUUUUGUUAUUUUGUUGUUUGUUUGUUUUUGCUUUGUUUUUUAUAUGUUUGUGGGUGGGGUGUGUUGUGGCUUUGUUGUCAUCGUUGUUUGUUUGUUUUCCCGGCUGUUUCCCCUCAUUAGCUCACAGCGCCUCCCAGCAGGGUAAAUUUUAUACCAAUGUGUGGGCUAAAGGGAGGCUAAAAGUCUACCAAACACCUCAAAGCAAUGAACAAACAAGCAGGCAGAGACAUGCUGGGCAGCCCCUGUUUCCUCUGGGUUAGCAACAUACGUGUUAUCAGGAAAAAAUCCUGCAUAUGACCUUUCACACUGCACAGCCUCGCUCCAAAAUUUAUGAGAAGUAAGCAGCUACAUGCAGUUUUGACUCCAGCUCGCAUUUAAUGUAUAAUCCUCCCAUGCCUACUGCCAGCUGCCAGCGAACCUCAAACCGUGGGCUGAAUCCUCAUGCACACAAAGAGAUGCUGGAAGUUCAGUUGCCCUGCUGAGGCUUGCGUGCACCAGCCGGUGGGAUUUUCCAGCUGUCAGUCCUGCUCACAGAGCACACAGCACUUGCCCUUCUUAUGCUGCUAAUAUCCAGCAGGAUCUCCCCACUGCCCAGAUUUUCCUCCAGUUAAGCUCUGGCAUACCCUGAAUGUUUGAGAUAGUCCAAUGAGGGAAGUAUUAAUCCAGUCUUGCUUUUAAAUAAACGCUUCCUACCAAACUCUAAAAAGGAAGAAGCAGUAUUGUCAGGCAAAUACACAAAAUUAUGCAAGAGGCUCGGCUGGACAUAUUUACUUUUGUUGCUAAAAUAUGUAGCUGGACAAUAGCCAUGGCAGGCUUCAACAUAAGUAAUAUGAAACAGGUUUUAUGUUUAUGUGAAGACAUUGAUAAAAGCUCAGGGAAUGUUUUUUUAAACAAUUUUUUAAUAUAGAUGUCCAUAAAAUCACAAGUGGUCUGCAGAAGAUGAACUGGGAAUGGUUAUUUAUUGUUCCUCAUAAAAGAACUAGGAGGCACCCAAUGAAAUUUUUGGCAAGCAGGCAAGCAAAAGAAAGCACUUUUCCAUGCAGUUAAAUGAGUUAAAUGCAGUCAUGUAAACUACGAAAUUCGUUGUCACAGGAUGUUGUGGACAUUGGGAGUAUAAACAGGUUCAAAAGAGUUAAACAGUCAUGAAGCCUAUUUCUGGCAGUGCCUUUAAAACAUUUUUGAGUGGAUGCAGCUUCCAACUCCCGAAAUCUAUAAAGUGCUGAUUUCUAUAACCUAGGAGAUCAUACCAGAGGAAAAAUCACUCCAUACUUCAUCUUUCUUAUGCUGUUCUCCUUAAACAAGGAGAAGAUACUGAAUGAGGUGGGCCCUCAGCUUGGUCUGCUCCUGGAGGCUCUUAAUCAAUUAUGUCUUAAUUAGCUACAUUGGUUUUGUCCCUGGCAGGUUGUAUGUCUUACAAGGCUCGGACUCAGAAGUGUAGCAUCUGGCUGGAAGGACACAGGAGCGCUCAGGUCUUGUCACAAGACACCGACUGGGAUUUCGGAGAAGUUGUGCACAUCCAGGCUCUGCCACAGACUCCUUGUAGGGCUCAUUUAGAAAUGCUGGCUAGAGGAGAGCAGUUUCCUCUUUGUCUAUCUUGUGAUUUUGACUACAGAGCUUUGUGGGGAAGGCAUAUGGAGGAUACACGAAACCUAGCAUCGUGGAGCCUCUGCAGCCUCUUUGGAGACAAUUAAUUUAAGAGGCAAGAGAACACUGGAUGGAAAGAAACCACACUACCUUCCUCCUCUGAUGGGAGGAUGGUGGAAGGUUGUGUUCCUUGCAAGAUGACGCUGGUCGUGCACCACAGAAACUACAGAUGCUAAGAGAACCAAAAAAUUACCAAUAUUAUGUAUUUUGAGAUUAGCAGGAAAUCCAGUGAAGUUUCCCAUCAUUAAAGGAAUAUGAAAUAAUAAUACUUUAGUAACUGACUUACAAUUAUGAUUUUCACUAAAGCCCUGAGCAUUUAGGAGUAUACUUAGCUACAUCCCUACUUUGCAGUGCAUUCCUAUGUCAGUUUAAUCUCCCUCAUUUGCACAAAUUGCCUUUGUUUAUCCUUUAAGUGAACAGUUGCUCUUGAAUGUGAUUGUAAGAUUUGGUCCUUAGACAAAGAAAGAAUUAGUGAUUGAAGACUGAUACAAGGUGUCAAAAUGACGCUGCUUAAAUUGGCAGCACUAAUUUCACACACACAUGCAUCACAUCAAUCUUUGCUUUUUAACCAUUUUAAAAGGUGACUCACUUCUGCACCAGGAAAAAAAUUUAGCCAUCAUCAUGGAUUUUGGCCAUACUGAAAGAAAAGAACAACAAAAAUUAGCGUCACAUAGCAAGCUAUCCACACUCUGCAUUUGCUAAGAUAACAUCCCAAAUAUGGCCCAGGAGGGAGGCAGGCAAACGUGAAGUUGCCUCAGUGAAGCCAUUUACACAAGCAAAUCGUCACCUUGCAGUGUGUAAAGCCAGAUGAAGCUCAUGUAACUGACCUGAAGAAAACAGUCACUUGUCUGCUGAGGAGCUGUUCAGGGGAUCAGAGCAAGAGAAAUCAAUAGAAUCAGCUUUUCUCCUGCAUUUUCAUCAUGAGAGCGUACAGGAAAUUAAAUAGAAUUUAAUGUAACGCCAUAAUACCAUACUGCCAUUUAAUUGCAUGGUAAUAUGUCAUAUAAAGCAUUCCCCAAAGUUUAGCCUGUUAGUUCAUUUGGUUAAUUGAACAUUUAGCACUUCCUCUCCUGUCUCUCUACCCUCUGUUCCCUCCUCUUCGAAAGAAAAAUUGAUCGAUUCAUUCAUUAUUGGCUCCUGCUGCAGAAUGAUUCACUCUUCCUUUCCAGGGCCAGUAUCCAAGUGUCAUUAUCUGUUUGAAGAAAAAAAUAAAUAAAAUAAAAUAAAAUAAUAAUAAUAAUAUGUUGAAAAAGAGGCUUUUUGAAGGAAAUCACAAGCUAAAAACCAUAACACUUGCAGACACCAGUACACUUCAGAUUUUCACACUAGCCUCCAUUUCUGCAACAAGCUAAACAAAUCCAUCACAUCUGAGCAUCCUUGCACUCAAGAGUUCAGGCUAACCUUCACUCUGCAAUUACUGUUUCAGUGGUUUUAAUGGUCAGGUCAGUUGGCUUAAUUACAUCCACCCUUCCAGCAGCCAGAGAGGAAGGCAGCUGGCCAGCACGCUCCCAGUGCGGGGCUACUGCUGCCUUCUCACAGAAUCACAGAAUGGCUGGGGUUAGAAGGGACUUCUGGAGAUCAUCUAGUCCAACCCACCUGCCAUAGCAGGUUCACCUGGAGCAGAUCGCACAGGAAUGUGUCCAGGCAGGUUUUGAAUGUCUCCAGAGACUCCACAACCUCUCUGGGUAGCCCAUUCCAGUGCUCUGGCACCCUCAAAGUAAAGAAGUUUCUCCUCGUAUUCAGAUGGAAUCUCCUAAAUUUCAGUCUGUGCCUGCUGCCCCUCAUCCUAUCACUGGGCACCAAUGAAAAGAGUCUGGUCCCAUCCUCUUGACACCCACCCUUGAGGUAUUUAUACACAUUGAUAAGAUCCCCUCUCAGCCUUCUCUUCUCCAGGCUGAACAGACCCAACUCCCUCAGUCUCUCCUCAUAAGAAAGGUGCUCCAGAUCCCUCUUCAUCUUCAUAGCUCUCUGCUGGACUCCCUCCAGUGGUUCCUUGUCCUUCUUAAGCUGGGGAGCCCAGAACUGGACGCAGUACUCCAGAUGUGGCCUCACCAGGGCAGAGCAGAUGGGGAAGACAACACCCUUUGAGCUGCUGGUCAAACUUUUCCUAAUGCACCCAAGGAUACCAUUGGCCUUCUUGGCCACAAAGGGCACGUUGCUGGCUCAUGUUCAACCUGUUGCCCACCAGGACUCCCAGGUCCUUCAGUGCUUCCCAGAUGUUGCCUUUUAACCCUUGCAAAGGUGGCCACAUGGGAAUAGGUGGAAAACAGAGAGCAUUGCAAAAAUCAAUGCAAUACCAUAAUAAUUUUGGCAAUUUUUUAAAGAACAUAAGCCCUGUAAAUAAUACCUACUACUUUUUGUAACUCAAAGUGCUCAGCUAGCUUAGGCAGCUGACCCUGGAGUUAAAAAAAAUAUAUAUUUCUAAAACCUGAUCUGGCAGUUUGCCUCAAAUUUCUGCCUGCAUAACAUUUGAAGUCCCAUAAAAAGGCAGAAAGUAGAGGACCACACACAGAGGAACCAUGACCAAAACUGGUGGAGUGCUUGUUGCAGGUGGCAAGAUGGGAUAGCUGUGCAAGCCUCACAGAGUGCAAUGUGCAAACUCUCUGAUUUCAAGCGAGAGCACUGGUCCAGUUAGCAAGUAGAGACAGGCUGGUUUAUGAAGAAGACAUUGCCAUGUUGCUCCAGUGGCUGCUUGAGCUGUGAACAACACUGUUUUUUCUUUUUCUUGAAAGACCACAAUAUGUCCUUGCUGAAAUGCAAAAAUCUGUUAUAGCUUAUUUUGGCCUCUCUUGGGAACCUUGAAACAAGACAAAUAUGACUACUCUGUCCACACAAGGCAGAGCAAAAACACACAACUGAAAAGUUGGAAGCUGUUCUCCCUGACCUUGGGGAGGAAAUUCCAAGUUCCUUUUAGCUUUGCACAGGUUUUCAGUUUUCUUGGUAGGUCGUUCACAUCACAAAGUCCUCCUGUGGUAACCCUGUUCAGCCAUGACCUAUUCCGGGUGGCUCUGGGGAGGGGAGAGGAAGCAGUCAGCAGCGUCAUUGCAGAGGCUGCUGACAGAAGAGCCCGUGACACCAGGUACAGGAGAUCCUCCCCAGAAUUAGGCAGGAGAGAUAGCAGCCUCAGAAGAAAGUCCAUCUGGUUUUCUCCUCUCCUCACCCACACCACUGAAGAGACAGCUACAAGAGGAACUCUGAAGAGACACAAACUAUAAUAGAAGCAGAGCUGAAGACCAAGAAUCAGCUGUUAGAAAUGGCCAAACAACAGCUAGACUCCAGACUAACGAGAGCACAGGGAAUUAUAAAGGAAUUAAAGGAGGACAAUGAAGGUCUGGUGCAAGAAAUUGAGAAGCACAAGCAAUUUCAGGAGAAUUGCAUGGUGAUUUUAGAGAGCAGAAACAUUGUUCCUGCUGCACGCAGAGUAUUUUGGAGGAGGAAGAAAAGACACAAGAAUGCUAGAAGCAGACAAUGCUGUUAAUUGAGAAGCUCAUAGAAGAAUUGAAGUAUAUUUUUAUUAUAUAUUUUUUAUGCCACUCUGCUCUGCUCUGGUGAGACCUCGCCUGGAGCACUGCAUCCAGCUCUGGAGUCUUCAGUACAGGAAAGAGAUGGACCUGUUGGAGAGGGGCCAGAGGAGGCCACCAAGAUGAUCAGAGGGAUGGAACAGCUCUCCUGUGAGGACAGGCUGAGAGAGUUGGGGUUGUUCAGCCUGGAGAAGAGAAGGCUCCAGGGAGACCUUAUUGAGCCCUUUUAGUACUUAAAAGGGGCCUAUAAGAAAGAUGGGGACAGACCUUUUAGCAGGGCCUGUUGUGAUAGGACAAGGGGUAAUGGUUUUAAACUAAAGGAGGGGAGAUUCAGGCCAAACAUGAGGAAGAAAUUUUUUAAAAUGGGGGUGGUAAAAUACUGGCACAGGUUGCCCAGGAGGUGGUAGAUGCCCCAUCCCUGGAGACAUUCCAGGCCAGGCUGGACGGGGCUCUGAGAAACGUGAUCUAGUUGAAGAUGUCCCUGCUCAUUGCAGGGGGUUGGACUGGAUGAGCUUCAAAGAUCCCUUCCAACCCAAACUAUUCUAUGAACUCUGGAAUAGGCAAUGAGAUAUUACUGCUUAAGACUCCCUGUGUGUGUAUGAAGAGCUGCUUAAGAAAUGUUCAGUUGAAGAAAUGAGAUUUGCCUUUGGUUUCCACUCACAAAGCCUGCAGUCACUCCUGUCUCUUAUAUAAGUGGUAUGGUCUAAUCCAUUCCUGUGGAUUUCCUCCUAAUGAUAACAACAUUGCUGCUCCAAGAGGAUGCAAGUGGUAAAAUAAGGAGCUGUUGUGGAGAGAAAGGAGUGACCCGUCCCAGGAAGGACCUUCCUAUCUGCAGAUGUGGAGCUGGGCUUUGCAUUUGUUGGUGAUCAGUGCUGAGUGUCAAUGUGAUGUGGCUGUGCUGCCUUGCUCAGGAAGCAGAGAAUGGAGCUGUUGAAAUUUGUAUUGAAGGGAGCUUUUUCCCAGUGUGUAAGUACCAGAACAAUUACAGCAAACUGCAGCUACUUCAUGAAUUGCUGAUGCUAAAGAUGCUCUGACACCGUGUCCGGAAGUCCAGCCUGCAGGCUAUUACAAGGUUGCCACUUUCUCAGCAGCUACAAAGUGAAGAAGUUCUAGUAGUCUUGAUUAUUAGGGUUAUUCAGAAGAAUUGUGGAGUCUAAAUAGGUCAAAACUCAAUAAAUAGGUCAAAACUCAAUAAAUACUUAGGUUAUAUGUGCAAUAUUUAUCAAGAUGUCAUUGGCGCAGGCACAUAUUAUCAAGAAUUGGGAGAAGAGGCUGAAUUCUUGUGCUGCAUAUUCCAGAGAGAUUGAAUGAUUGUCAGCGCUCACACACCAAGUUCGGUCUACAAGGAUGGCAAAUUCCUGCCAUUCCUCCUCACCCAGGUGCCUUUUGAAGAAAACCUAUACUGAACACCCUGGAGACUUUCUGCAGGAUGGGGCUGGAUGGAGGUGACCUGGUAGAUGUUGCUCCCCAGCGUUACAAGUGCUGCCUCUGCACCAUGUUCUGGCUGGUGGGAAUCCAGCAGUGAGCAGGAUGUGCUGGAGGCUGGGUUUUCCUGCUGGCAAACCUCUUGAUGGUAAAGCCCCUUCACAGGCAGUUGUAAACCAGAAAGGCAACAGAUUUUAGUUGUCUCUGAAGGAGAGGGCAUUUAAUGCUCUCAUUCUGUCUAGGUCUUUUCUAUGCAAAUUGGGCUUUUUUUUUUUUUUUUUUCCAAUGGGGAGACUUAAAAUCUAAUCAGAAAUGGCCUAUUACUGUCUUUGUUAUCCUGUUGGAAUGAAAUUUAGACCUCCAGAAGGUAAUAACCAAUAAAUAUCAUUAUCUCUUUCACAGGAGUAAAGUAGUCAGAAGUAAGAGGAAGAAAUACAUAGACUAAACCAUAGAUGAUGACUGGGAGCAAAGAAACAUUAAAAAGAUGAAGCAUACCAAUGUUCAGCUGCAUUGGCUCAUUUGUCAAAAUCAGUAGCUCUCUGAUAAGAAAACGCCAAAUUGAAGUGUUUGUAAAACACUAUGUAAAGGGUCUGUUUCUUCUGUGCUGUGAUGAACAGAACACUGUGUCAACACCACCUCAUGUCAAAAGAUUAAAAUAUGCAGUUACUUGAAGAGCUAUACCAUUUCUGUGUGUCAGCAUCGUAGGAGCAAUAAAAGGAAGAGAUGUAGGAGUACAGGUGGAUAGAAAAUAAAAUGCAGCAGCGUGAUUUAGAUAUGUUUAAAAAACAACUGACAAACCAACAGUGGGCAAAUGCUAAGAAAGGAUCAGACCAACAGUUGAGGAGACUGAACUUUCUUCCCACUUGUGAAGAGGAUCCAACCGCAGGGCCAAUGGAGAUGCUAACAGGGGUUCUGCCUUUGUCAAAUUAGCUUAGUGACUCAAGAAGAAGCUUCAGUUACCUUCAGGUGACUCACCUGCCAGAAGGCUACACAGCCGCAGGCACUCACACACAAUUAUAACAUGCGGAACAGAAAAAAUUCCUUGUUGAAAAGAGCACUUACUGAAUUCAACACGUUGGCUGAGGCAGUUGUUCUGCUACUGUAAGGAGAUUAAUUCCUCGCAUGCUAUGUUAUUACUUCUAAUGUUCUGCAGCAGGUGAAUCAUUCGGGAUUAGGAAACAUAAAUAAAUGAGAAUUUUUUCAUAUCUGAGUGCCUCUUUAUAGUUAUAAAGUCCUAAUUGUUCUUUGAAAUCUACUGUAGGGAGGGUCUCACCCACUGAAUGCUGUGCCUAAUCUAAAAUGGCCCAUGCUAACAUUUCCUGUAGCUUGAAAACAAAAUGAGAAGAGGAAAAAGAAAGGCCAAGGAGAGAAACAAGAGAAAAAGAGAGAAAUGAAGGAGAAAUUUGGUUAUAUUGUUGUUGAACCUUUGAAUUGCCACUUUUGAUCACUUUUUGAGAAAAAAGUAAAAUGGACAAAUGAGAGAGACUCUUUCAUGCUUAUUUCUAAACUAAUAUGUCUUAC